AACGAACGCUGGCGGCAGGCCUAACACAUGCAAGUCGAGCGAGGACUUCGGUCCUAGCGGCGGACGGGUGAGUAACGCGUGGGAACGUGCCCUUUGCUUCGGAAUAGCCCUGGGAAACUGGGAGUAAUACCGGAUGAGCCCUUUGGGGGAUAGAUUUAUCGGCGAAGGAUCGGCCCGCGUUGGAUUAGGUAGUUGGUGGGGUAAUGGCCUACCAAGCCGACGAUCCAUAGCUGGUUUGAGAGGAUGAUCAGCCACACUGGGACUGAGACACGGCCCAGACUCCUACGGGAGGCAGCAGUGGGGAAUCUUAGACAAUGGGGGAAACCCUGAUCUAGCCAUGCCGCGUGAGCGAUGAAGGCCUUAGGGUUGUAAAGCUCUUUCAGCUGGGAAGAUAAUGACGGUACCAGCAGAAGAAGCCCCGGCUAACUCCGUG
rnacentral:rRNA from 1 species